rnacentral:rRNA from 1 species
GACAGAGGGUGCAAACGUUGUUCGGAAUUACUGGGCGUAAAGCGAGUGUAGGCGGUCCGCUAAGUCGGGUGUGAAAGCCCUGGGCUCAACCCAGGAAGUGCACUCGAAACUGGCGGGCUAGAGUAUCGGAGAGGUUGGUGGAAUUCUCGGUGUAGAGGUGAAAUUCGUAGAUAUCGAGAGGAACACCGGUGGCGAAGGCGGCCAACUGGACGAAUACUGACGCUGAGACUCGAAAGCGUGGGGAGCAAACAGG